rnacentral:rRNA from 1 species
UGGGGAAUUUUGCACAAUGGGGGAAACCCUGAUGCAGCGACGCCGCGUGAUUUAGAAGGCCUUCGGGUUGUAAAAAUCUUUUCUAUGGGAAGAAAAUGACAGUACCAUAGGAAUAAGGACCGGCUAAUUACGUGCCAGCAGCCGCGUUAAUACGUAAGGUCCGAGCGUUGUCCGGAAUCAUUGGGCGUAAAGGGUACGUAGGCGGGUAAGCAAGUUAGAAGUGAAAUCCUAUAGCUCAACUAUAGUAAGCUUUUAAAACUGCUCAUCUUGAGGUAGGGAAGGGAAAGUGGAAUUCCUAGUGUAGCGGGGAAAUGCGCAGAUAUUAGGAGGAAUACCGGUGGCGAAGGCGACUUUCUGGCCAUAACCUGACGCUGAGGUACGAAAGCGUGGGUAGCAAACAGG